rfam:Trichobilharzia regenti genome assembly, scaffold: TRE_scaffold0021594
AUCCAGCUGACGAGUCCCAAUUAGGACGAAAUGUGUGUUAUCCUGGAU